CCCUUAGAUGUUCUGGGCCGCACGCGCGCUACACUGACGCAUUCAACGAGUCUCCUUGGCCGAGAGGCCUGGGUAAUCUUUUGAACGUGCGUCGUGAUAGGGAUAGAUUAUUGCAAUUAUUAAUCUUGAACGAGGAAUUCCUAGUAAACGCAGAUCAUCAAUCUGCAUUGAUUACGUCCCUGCCCUUUGUACACACCGCCCGUCGCACCUACCGAUUGGAUGGUCCGGUGAGGCCUCGGGAUUGUGGCUGGUGCAUUCAUUUGUGUCGGUUGCGAGAACUUGUCCAAACCUUAUCAUCUAGAGGAAGGUGAAGUCGUAACA
rnacentral:rRNA from 1 species